AACCCCUGGCCAUAGGCAAAGACAUAUCUUGUUGGUGAUGUUCUUGUAUCAGUCAGGGGCAGAGCAGUCAACAGCCCUUGUUUAUCCUAGCUUUAUUUCUGGCUUGGUGGCCAAUGCUGUCUUAUGCCUAGGACUCAUAA